UGUUAAAAAUUUUAUCAAUUUGUACGGUUAAAAAUUAGUGUGGUUGACGAAAUAACUAAACAAUUAUACGUGGCGUGUCACAUGUAUAUCAUGUUAACAUACAUGGACCAGUUUUUAAUAGUAAAAGUGGAUGAAAUUUCUUAACA
rfam:Gossypium hirsutum cultivar TM-1 chromosome 1, whole genome shotgun sequence